GUGACGAUGAACAAAACAGCUAAAUCAAUGAAUUUUAUUCAGUAUGGUUAGAUAACACAUUGAUCUUUAAUAUGCAACACAGUUUGUGUCACUCGUGCGUAUAGUUCAUGAGUAAUGAAAGUUCGCAGCUCAUUUUUUGAGGUAAAAACUGAUUCCUCUCUCCCGGAAGGGGUAAUUCUUUUUUUUCACACAACAUUUAUUUGACACGGCACAAUACGGGUUAAUUCUUGUCAGAGUUUGGCCAACCAUUGUAUAGCUGAAUGCUUCCGGAAUAUUUUUUUUCCAUGGAACGAAAUCACACAGCCUCUCUGGAUCACUGUCAAAUGGAGCACCAUUUCAGAAAAAGGUCGACUAGUCGUUGGAGUUCGAGACAGUCUACAGUAUUUUAUAUUAUCUUGAACAACUUAAUAUCAUCUGCAAAACACAUACGGUGAUUGUCCGGCAAUAUAAGACAUGCGUCAUUUAAAUACAAUGCAAAGAGCAGUGGUCCUAAAUUACUGCCCUGCGGAACGCCUGAUACAUUCGAAAAAGGAACAGAAUGCUGUGAUCUGCUCUUCACGAAGAGUGUACGAUUUACCAAACAUGACCUCAGCCAUUGUACAAGAGCAGGGACCAUUCCAUGUUUCUUCAUCUUAGCGAGCAGCAGACCAUGAUCGACGCAGUCAAAUACAGCUUUCAAUUCCGUAUAAACCGCAUCGAUUUGGGCACCUUCGGUCAUAUUUUGUAGACCUGUGCUGAUCGAUCGUGAUACAAUGCUUGCAGUUAGCAUCACCUUUUUUGUGCACAGGGAACAUAAUCGAUAGUUUCAAACUGGACGCAAUGAGGAAUGCCGUCAGGCCCAAGAGCGAAAGAGGAAUUCAUCUUGUCGAUUGCAACUUCCACUUGUUAGUUAGUUAUUAUAAAUGAGCUAAAGUCAAUGACGUCUCUGGGGACAUCAUCUGAAGCUAGGCUCAUCUCUGCAGUUGAAGCCGUAGAGCUACGAAAAAUCUGUUGAAAGAGCUGAGCAAAUAAGGCUUGAACGACCAAAAACGCCGUGGAUUAGGUCGGAGUCAGUUCUGCAUACGAACAGUACAUCGUCUGUGCAAGUAGCGAAUAUAAAUUCGAUAAUUCGCAGUGUCGAAGACCUGUCGCAGGCGAGUGUUGGACCAUAGAGGUUUUGGUACUGGUCGGCAAGGAAGGACACACUGAGCGAGUGUCGUUGAAACAUCUGAUUGCAUCUUCGAGGGAAAACCAACUUUUAAGUAAAUUUAGUAAUAUGUAGCAUAGAUCGAACCAACGCAAUUGAGCUGUACACUAAAUAGUUGACUGCGAAGUCUGUGUAUAAUAAACAGCAGGUCGAGUUCAGAAUCAGAAUGUAGCACCAAGGCUUUGCUUUACAGUUUUGAUAAUUAAGUUGAAAGGAAUGCUGCCUGGAAUAAAAAGAAUACAAAAAUCAACCCGUACCAAUGGCAUUUUUCAGCGCCCAGAAAUCUUUUAUUUGAAGCUGUAAAUCAGCGUGGGUGUACCUGAAAUUUGCUAUAAAAAGGGGCAUUGUUAAAAAAAAAAUAUUUUCACCACUAUUGGCAACGUUUUGGCGAGUGGCAUAAAAAUAAUAGGGGCAAAAAAUGCAAUUCCACAAUAGUGCAGAAACUGAUUUUAGGGAGCAAAUUAUAUCUAGGGUAUGACAGCAAUAUCUAGAAACAACAACUUUUUUCUGCAAAGUUGUUCUAUAUGAUGAAGCGUUUAUUUAAAAAAUAUUAAAAUUAGGGUUACUCAAAUUUCCGAUGAAAUCAUGCAUCUAGUUAUUUAUUUUUGUCGAUAGAAACUUUGUAGAAAAAAGCUUUUCUUAAUCUUUGAGACUAAUCGAAAUUUUUUGGAUUUUUUUUUAUUCUCGCUUGUUUUCCGUCGGUCAAGUUCCGCCACUGUUGUUGUGCCAAUCACCGACGCCCGGGAGGCGACUCCACCAGAACCCUAACUCACGACCCGUUGAUUAACGGACCGGCGCCAACUGCUUUACUUCC